UCUGCUGACCGCAGCUUCCGGCCGCCAAAAAUCACGUCGGAGUGGCCAUCGAUUCGAAGUCUACUUUGCCUGUGUUGGUAGGGCUUUUAUUUCAUCGAUACACAUUUUAUAAUUUAUGAAGAAGCUCAUCAAUUGUAGUUGAAAGAUUAAACUUAGAAUUGCUACCAGUGUAGUGAGCAUUUGCAACACAAUUUCGGGCAACUUAUGUAGAAAUGAGCCAUGGUUCUUUCACCUGCAUUGGAUUUUCACAAUCUUUCCAUACUGAAAGAGAGACUCUACAGGCUUCCCAAUAACGGUGUGACUGUUGCAGUCGUUUCUACUUGAUGAAGAAUCCAGUGAAUAGCCAGUGUCUGAUGAAGGGGACCCAAGCAAGAUUAUCCCGAAAGAAAUGGAGAAACAUAGACCCAAGUCAACAGUGAAAAGGAAUGUCCCAGAUAUUUACACCCCUGAUAUUGCUACGCCAUCAAAACAAAACGUUUAUCAGCAUUCACUUAUACUGGAGAACAAUGUGUUGAUAUUUUACUACAACUGCAUCUGAAUUUGAAAGAAGUUCUCCACGCGGACGACCGUUCGACCGAGAAGUCAUCGUCGAAGAUUUUACACAAAGGUGAAAAGCUCCAACGACGCAUCCGCACGAUCCGGGCAACUUGAAUUUUUCAAUGGCGAAAGGGAAGGUGUAGUCUUUUGGGUUGUAGACCAAGAAGCGAUGGAAAAUAUUUUUCUGGACGCACUUGGACU
rnacentral:misc_RNA from 1 species